rnacentral:rRNA from 1 species
GACGAACGCUGGCGGCGUGCCUAAUACAUGCAAGUAGAACGCACAGUUUAUACCGUAGCUUGCUCCACCAUAGACUGUGAGUUGCGAACGGGUGAGUAACGCGUAGGUAACCUGCCUGGUAGCGGGGGAUAACUAUUGGAAACGAUAGCUAAUACCGCAUAAUAUUAAUUAUUGCAUGAUAAUUAAUUGAAAGGUGCAAUUGCACCACUACCAGAUGGACCUGCGUUGUAUUAGCUAGUAGGUGAGGUAACGGCUCACCUAGGCGACGAUACAUAGCCGACCUGAGAGGGUGAUCGGCCACACGGGGACUGAGACACGGCCCAGACUCCUACGGGAGGCAGCAGUAGGGAAUCUUCGGCAAUGGACGAAAGUCUAACCGAGCAAAGCCGCGUGAGUGAAGAAGGUGUUCGGAUCGUAAAGCUAUGUUGUAAGAGAAGAACGGGUGUGAGAGUGGAAAGUUCACAAUGUGACGGUAUCUUACCAGAAAGGGAGGGCUAACUACGG